rnacentral:RNase_P_RNA from 2 species
GACAACCUAACUACGGAUCGCGAGAAUGUUGUGAAAUGACAAUAAUUCUCUUAAAAGAUCUGAGGAAAGUCCGUCCACCGAAACUUUUGGAAUUAAUUUUCUGAAAGUUGAAAGUGCAACCUUAAAUAAAGGUUUCAGAAAUGAAAGUCAACAGUUCAGAAACGACACGGCCUUAUGCUGAAAAUAUGUAGCUUGCGAAGUUUCUCGUGAGAGAAAUGAGAUAACCAGCUGAAUUUGCAUAAGGAUACGAUGAAACGACUAGUACUUGCUGGUGCAAAGCUCAAGAAGCUGCUAAGUAGAAUGUUAGGAAGAUUCGUCCUUUUUACGAGGGAAUCUACAGAAGACGGCUUAUUGUC